UACGUAGGCAGCGAGCGUUGUUCGGAGUUACUGGGCGUAAAGCGUGCGUAGGCGGUGUCUUAAGUUUGUUGUGAAAUCUCCCGGCUUAACCGGGAGGGUGCGGCGAAUACUGAGAUGCUGGAGUGCCGGAGAGGUAAGCGGAAUUCCUGGUGUAGCGGUGAAAUGCGUAGAUAUCUGGAGGAACACCGGUGGCGAAGGCGGCAUCCUGGACCGGCAUUGACGCUGAGGAGCGAAAGCCAGGGGAGCAAACGGG
rnacentral:rRNA from 1 species